rnacentral:rRNA from 1 species
UACAGAGGUCUCAAGCGUUGUUCGGAUUCAUUGGGCGUAAAGGGUGUGUAGGUGGCGUGCUAAGUCGGGUGUGAAAUUUCGGAGCUUAACUCCGAAACUGCAUUCGAUACUGGCGUGCUUGAGGACUGGAGAGGAGACUGGAAUUCAUGGUGUAGCAGUGAAAUGCGUAGAGAUCAUGAGGAAGACCAGUGGCGAAGGCGGGUCGUCUGGACAGUUCCGUGACGCUGAGGCACGAAGGUCAGGGGAGCAAACGGG